GGAAAUAUUAGUCCUGAGUAUAAGAAAUCCUGGCAAAAGUAGCAAUGUAUUGCCCUGAACACGGAUCAAUUGAAUCUCAGAGUUUUAUUCUUCUGAAGAUCAUGGGACAAUUCCAUCUGAAUUUUUGCGGACUGACUCAGCAUAUAGCUCAGCAAAGGUUUCCAAAGGAUGAAAUGGGCGCCUCAACGAUCAAGAAACAUUUUCCAUCAUGGUAAUCUUGGGCAACAGCUGCUAUGCAACAGUGCAAGCUAAAUCAGAAGAGGCUACAAAACAUAUGGUGAAGAAAAAGCAUUAUGUAUGUAUUGCAGGGAAAUG